rnacentral:tRNA from 1 species
GCCUUGAUGGUGGAAUUGGUAGACACGAGGGACUUAAAAUCCCUUGGCCAUAACGGCCGUACGGGUUCGAGUCCCGUUCGAGGCACCA